AGGAGCUCGAGGGCAUCUGUAAUCCCAUCAUUGCAAAGAUGUACCAGGGUCCUGGUGGUGACGCAGGUGUUCCUAUGGAUGAUGAUGCUCCACCAUCUGGUGGUAGCAGUGCAGGACCUAAGAUUGAGGAGGUUGAUUAAGCGGUUGAUAAAGAUACUAGUUGGUUUCAUUUUCAUUAGUAUAGUUUAGUAGAUUACUUUGAAUUGGCUCUUGUUUCAAGUUUUGUGUUGUAAUUUCUUACUGAUGUUUUUAAAUAGCGAUACUGAGUUGGCAAUGUCUUGCUGUUUACUACGAA
rnacentral:misc_RNA from 1 species